rnacentral:rRNA from 1 species
UCGACCUGAGAUUAGAUAAGAUUACCCGCCGAAUUUAAGCAUAUUAAUAAGCGGAGGAAAAGAAAACAACUGUGAUAGCCUUAGUAAUGGCGAAUGAAACGGCUACAGGGCAUCGCGGAACCGCAGGUCAUCUUGGCCUCGUGGAAUGUCGCGUUCGGGAGAGUCUUCUCGAGGAGCGGUCUGCCAGUCAAAGUCCAACUUGACAGUGGCCACUGCCCGUAGAGGGUGAUAGGCCCGUAAGGCGGCGGACCCUUCUCGCUGACUUUUUCCCUAGAGUCGGGUUGCUUGGGAGUGCAGCCCAAAGUGCGAGGUAAACUCCUCGUAACCCUAAAUAUGACCCCGAGACCGAUAGCAAACAAGUACGGUGACGGAAGAUUGAAAAGAACUUUGAAGAGAGAGUUCAAUAGUACGUGAAACUGUGUGGUGGUAAACGGAGGGGUUCUCGAAGUUUCUGUGGGGAACUCAGCCUUGGUGUCGCGUGGCUCUGUAGUAUCCGAUCAGCAAUGACGGUGCUGCUUGGCCGACGUGUCUCUCGGGUGCAUUUCCCCCGCAGUUUACGGCAGGAACUGUUCGGAGCGCACCGAAGGCCUCGGGUGAAGUUGUCGGUUCUGCUGGCAGCCCUGGGUGUCCUGGCUUCGCACCGGACAGGUACGUGAGAGGACUCGUAUAGCGAGCAAUGCUCUGU